UACGUAGGGGGCAAGCGUUAUCCGGAUUUACUGGGUGUAAAGGGAGCGUAGACGGCUUUGCAAGUCAGAUGUGAAAGCCCGGGGCUCAACCUUGGGACUGCAUUUGGAACUGUAUGGCUGGAGUGUCGGAGAGGCAGGCGGAAUUCCUAGUGUAGCGGUGAAAUGCGUAGAUAUUAGGAGGAACACCAGUGGCGAAGGCGGCCUGCUGGACGAUGACUGACGUUGAGGCUCGAAAGCGUGGGGAGCAAACAGG
rnacentral:rRNA from 1 species